UUAAUUUUGUUCUGUAGGUGGUCAGUGUUCCUUGUAGCUUCGAAAUUCCUAUUGUUGCUCAGCAGCUGGGAAAGUCAGGAGAUCAUCUGGAAGAUUAGUAGUACAAGCUCUAUGCCCAUUGAAGAUAACAAUGGUGUUGAUAAAAUUCUGAGUCCAUUGUCGGUUGCUCCUCUGGUUGCAUUGGUUGGGUUUGGGCUGUAUGAGCUUGGAUUCCCUGUGCUAGUGCUGGAAUGAGAAUUUUAAAUAUCUGGGGUGUUCAGUGCUUGGACGGCCUUAUUACUUGUCAUAUUCGCCGAGGUUAUUGCUGUUUCAAAGUCAUAAGACAUUGUGCUGAUGGUUCUUGAUGCCUCAAAAAUAUUCUCGGAGUGAAGGACAUCGCCAGAUAUUGACAAAGGAACUAGAAGCUGUUGGACUACAUCUAAAUAAGAGGCCACCUCAGAAUAGCUGGAGCUGCGGAAAUUGAAGUGGGAAGCAAGAAUUUCAACCAUACGGUGUUUGUUAGAAAUUAUGUUCGAAAUUUAAUUUGAAUACUGAGAUUGUAAUUUGAGAGUUGAG